GACGAACGCCGGCGGCGUGCUUAACACAUGCAAGUCGAGCGGUAAGGCCCUUUCGGGGGUACGACGAGCGGCGAACGGGUGAGUAACACGUGGGUGACCUGCCCUCAGCUCUGGGAGUAAGCCUGGGAAACCGAGGUCUAAUACCGGAUAUGACUCCAUGACGCAUGUUGUGGGGUGGAAAGCCUUGUGCGGCUGAGGAUGGGCCCGCGGCCUAUCAGCUUGUUGGUGGGGUGAUGGCCUACCAAGGCGACGACGGGUAGCCGGCCUGAGAGGGCGACCGGCCACACUGGGACUGAGGCACGGCCCAGACUCCUACGGGAGGCAGCAGUGGGGAAUCUUGCGCAAUGGGCGAAAGCCUGACGCAGCGACGCCGCGUGAGGGAUGACGGCCUGUGU
rnacentral:rRNA from 1 species